ACUCGUUACAUGCUUUCCAUAUGAUAGGCAAAAAUGAUGUGACACUGGCUUCUGGGAAUGGCGAAGGGGCUGCUGCAGGAACAACAACAUUCCAACUGCUGCUGCAGCGGCUGCCGUCGUUGCUCCGCCGGCGCACGCGGGAGGACGUAGUCGGCGGCGGCGUCG
rnacentral:ribozyme from 1 species